GUUUCUACGACAUGAUCAGAGGGACGAGCUAGAGUAACGGCCAGGCAGCCGGUCGCUGUCAGGAAUUCAUGCGAGAAUAACGAGAAGUUUUAACGGGAUGGGACCACCUUGAACUGCAUGCUUCCUCAUUUUUUUCUAUACAGUUGUUGACUCGUAGAUUGUUUAGUACCUACAUCCUAUUGGAUUCAAGCUGGUCUUUUCUUUGGUUUUGUUCUCUCCGCGUUGCCUCCAGAAGCAAAUUGCAGUACUCGUCACGUCAUCCACAGCUGCCUCGCAUGUGUUUUUAUGGCGGCUGUCAGCAACAGACAGCAGCACUCUUGUGAGUGAUCGAUCACAGAAAAGCUCCAACAGGAACGGGACAACUAAAAGGUUGGGUGAAUCAGUCAAAUUGAGUGGAACAAUUCCACCUUCAAGCUCGUCCAUGCCGCCACCAAAACCAACACACAGUCCUCUGUAAUAGAGCAUUUGAAACUAUUCCUACUGUUGUGGCCAACCUGCACUCCAUAACAUCUGGAGUGAAUGGAAUGGUUACAAUUUUACCAGCUUUUUUAAGUGGUUUUUAUUGCAAUAUUCUUGUUAAUAAAUCAUUUAAGCAGUCUUAAUAUUUUUGGUUUGCUUAAGUAAAUUUGUUAUUGUGAUAGCUACAAUACCGUAUACUAAUAUUAGCAUAAUAAGAUUUUGAUAGUUCCUAUUCAAACCAUUCACUUUUGUAUAUAAACUAGGGUUUUUGGGUUAAUUGAUAUGCAUAUUUUUAUAUUCUCUUUUUUAUAUUCCAUGCAAUCACAUUGGUAAAGAUGAAGGGCAACUUUGAUUCUCUUUGAAGAGUGCUAGGAUUUGAGAUUUUGGUUUAGAUUUAACUUUUGUAUUGUUUAAAUCUCCCUUUUUUUUAUAAUUUUUUUCAACGUCUUCUUUUUUGCUUUUUCUUUUUUAUUCAUCUUCAUAAUAGAGCAACAAUUUCCUCCUCCUUUGACUCUGGAGUAGUAGUUGGUGUAAUUGCUCGAUGCUAUAGGGUUGUAAUUAAAUAAUUAAACUCAAUUGAUGGCAGCAUUCAUAGCACGUGGUACAACUUUUCUUACUCUUGCUGCCAAUCCUUGCGUUCAACUGAAGUUCUUUUGUGGGAACUUUGGGGAUGAUGUGUACAAUUGGUUUGAUCACUUUACAGUGAUUGUAUUCUUGGGAUGAUGCUCAGCAUUUGCAUGAGUUUCUCACAUGUCUCCAAAGGAUAGCAUUGCAAUGGUAUAAUGGUUUAAGUGUAGCCACUCAUGAGGAUUGAAGCAUUCUCUUAAACUUCUUCAAACACACAUUUAGACAUGUCGACAAUUGUGAUGAUAUCUUUCACCAAUUGCAUCAUUUUCGUUAAGGGCCAUCUAAGUCUAUGAUGUAAUUUAGCGUUCAUUUCCAAAGCUUUUUGCUUCAUACAAAGCCAAAUAUUUUAAAGUGGAUCAAAUUAGGAAUAUUAUGGCCAACACUUCAUCAAAAUCUUGUAGAACUUAUGCAUGCAUUUGCUCCAGCCACCCUUGAUAACACUUUUCAUUUGGCAAAAUAUUAUAAAUCAUCACUUCUUCCACUUCUUGUUGUAUGUCUUUCAACUCCACUUCCUGUGGGAGAUGGUCCUAUUCCAAUAAAGGUUAAUGCUACUGCUACCCAAGUUCAAAAACAAUGGCUAGGACAAGGUUAUAGUCGUGAUAUCUACUAUUGGGUGUGUGAUAAAGUUGGUUAUACUUAUCGAUGUUAUUGCAAUUUUUUGAAUUGGCAACUUUCAUUUCCUAGAUGGAGACCUUGGUAUUAACAAUGUCUUGUUAGUAUUGCUGUUGUGGAAGGUCCGGACACUAAGAUGCUUCUGAGAAACAAAGAGUUACAUGAGUAGUAAAGGGACCUUGUGUAAAUAAGUUAAUGACCUCUUCACCUUUCUUUCAGGAGUAUCAUUAAUGGGUUCACUCGGCACUAAUUCAUCCAAUGUUUACUUUCCAAGUUUAUUUUUAUAAUAAGAGAUUUCUUAUUAUUCUCUCUGUGUUGGUUGAUACAAACGCAAGUUUAUCUUUUAUUCCUCGGUUUAUUGCCACACAUUGCUGUCUAUGUUUGCGUUGUGUGGCAGAGCUAGUUUUCAUUCUUUAUGGCAACAAGCAUGAGAUGAAGCAAAUCUGGUCAUGUAUGUAGGCAAUCUCAAGCUUGAGUUGUAGUCUUAUGGGUGGUACUAAGUUAAGCUUUUGACUUUAUCCUUGGUAUGGAUUGAUUGCAAUGCAAUCCCCCUUAUCUCAUACUUUUUUAUAUUUUUUCCAUUCGUUUCAUUUUUAUACUUGUUUGUCUUUCUGCUUCCAUCACUUUUAUUUCUCCAUUACUUCUUCCUAUGUUUCCAUCUUAUUCAUCUCUUCCCUUUUCGAAUCCCUAUGAUAGUUUUUGUGUUGCAGCAAUUGACUGGCUUAUAAAAGAGUAUACUGAUCUCUUUGAAUUUGACCUAUCGUCUAGGGCCAAGUUUGCAACACGUCAUUUUAUUCCAACUUAGGAUGCUUGUUUAAUCAAGGUUUUUAUUUGUUAUUAGUCACCCAAAGAGAUCAAGAUUUUACAUGUAAACAUAAAGGAGAUGUUGGAAAAGGGUGUUAUUCGAAAGUUACAAAGUCUUUAGGCACAUUGCUGAUCUAUUGAAUCGUCUAAGGAGAAAUCAUUAGUUCACUAAGUUAAAUCUUGGUUCUAGGUACUGACAAAUACUAAUGGCCGAAGAAGAUAUUCCUAAGACAACUUUUCGUAUACCAUUUGGGUUGUACAAGUUUUUGGUGAUGCUAUUUGGUUUGAACAAUACUUCAACAACUUUCUAAUGGAUGAUUAGACGAGGUUCUUUGCAAUAUAAUGGACGUGACUGCUAACUUCUUGAUGAUGUCUUAAUCCACUCAAAGGGGACAUGGGAGGAAUAUGUUUGUGAUGUUUGUAAGGUGUUAAAUUGAUUACGAGAAGGUGGUUUAAAGCUGAAGUGGUCGAAAUACAUAUUUGGGUCCAAGAACACAACUUAUUUUGGGUACUAUAUUUCUUAUGAGGGUUUGUAAGUUGAUCUUAAUAAACUUAUGUUUGUUUUAAAAUUCCCUACUCCGAAGUGUGUGAAUAAUGUGCAACACUUCUUGGGUAAAAUGUAGUAUCUCGGUCAUUUUGUUGAUCAUCUUUCUGAUCACACUGCACCUUUGCGAGCGUUGCUGAAAUUGUCAACAUCAUUUUUCAUCUAGUUUGUAAACUAUGAACAAGCGUUUACGGAUAUCAAAAAUCUAUUGAUGACUCCUCUAGUUUUGGCAUAUCCUAACUACACUUGAUUUUUCAUUUUGCUUAUCGAUGCUUCUAAUAUUGGUCUUGAAUGUGUAUUUAUGCAAGAAAGCCCAAGUGUGCCUGGUUAGCACCAUCCCGUUGUAUAUAUCAACUAUACAUUACAACCAACAAAAGUGAACUACUCCACGACAAAGGAGAAUUUAGCAGCAGUUUGGGGUUUCGAAAAACUUUAUAUAUAUCUACAUGGUUCUUAGAUGUUAUUAGAAGGUGAUUAUGUUGCAGUUACUUCAUUAUUGAAGCAGAAGAACUUGUGUUGUACUGCUUAGUGGGUUUUGAAGCUUCAGAUAUAUAUAAUUUUGAUGUUGUUCAUUGUUUAAUGGAUUCUAUGGCUGAUGCUAAUGCCCUUUUUCAAACUCUUCUUCUUUCUUCACUCUCUUUUGUUGUUCCAACAUUUGUGGAUUUUUUAGACAAGGAUUUGUGAUGUCGAUGGUUGCUGUAUUUGACAUUUAGUGUCCACAAAGUGCAAAGCAAGAUUUACCUUCUUUUGAUAUGGUUUGCGAAGUUCAAAGAUUAAGCUAUGGAUUCAAAGCUUCACAAUAAGUUUGAGAAUUCUAUAUCACUUGCUGAUAACUUGCCAUUUCAGCAUUUACAUUCUCAAUAUCACCUUGAGGAUAGUUUUCUUUGUUUUGUAGGGACAAGUUCUAAUGAUCAUUUAUGGUUAGUGGUGCCUUUGAUCUUUAUUCCAUGCUUUCUCCAUACUUACCAUGAUUUUCCUAUUCUAUGUGGGCAUAUGGGACAUCUGUAAGCUCCUAAGUUUGGAAAUAUCCCAAGACCCUUAACCGAUUGGAAAAGGGGGUGCAUUCUUGUUUAUGAGUCAUUUUCCUUUAUAUUUGAACCCCAUGGAUCGUCUUUUAAGUCAUUCUCUUUGGUUGUUAACAAUCCAUCACACUUCCCUGCAAGUUCACGCCCACUAGCCAGAUGUCAAUCAACAUGUGGUGUGAUACCCCUAGCCAACCAACAGAGUUGAACCUGAGACCCCUCUUAUACCAAAUGUAAGCUUCUAAGUUUGGACUUCCCAGAAGGUCACCCAGCCUAAUACUAUUCAAACCUAAAGACGUUUAACCUUAAAUAUCCCAAGACCCUUAACCGAUUGGAAAAAGGGGUGCACUUUUGUUCAUGAGCCCUUUCCCUCUAUAUUUGAACCCCAUAGAUCAUCUCUCAAGUCGUUCUCUUUGAUUGCUUACAACAUUGUUGUGUGAUCGAGAAGCUAUGCAAGUUUUUCUAUUGGUCGAAAAUGUGACGUGAUAUUAUCCGGUAUAUGUGUAAUUGUGUUUGAUGCCAAGCUCAUAAUACUCCCCCUCAUAUUGCAGAAAGACGGUUGAAGUCAAUUACAAUUUCCUAUCUAUUUGAGUUUGUGGCGUUUGAUCUGAUAGGGCAUUUUCUAUAGUCAACUGUUAAUGAUAAGUAUGUCAAAAUUGUUUUUGACUACUUGACUCAUUGGGUGGAAGUUGGUGCUCUUGCUAGUGCAUUUGCAAUUGUUAUUGGAUACUUCCUCCUCAAUCAAAUGGUGUUUUAACAUUUUUGUUUGGAGCAAAUUCUUUUGGAUAAUGGUCCCACAUUUAUGGCUGAGGCACUUCAUGUUUUAACAUCUCGAUUAGGGAUAUGCCACACUUUAAUGAGUGUUUAUUAUCCAUAGUCAAAUAUUUUGGUAAAACGGAUCAUUCAAACCUUCAAAGGGAUGAUUGUGAAGUAUGUGAACUUUUAUCAUUUGGAUUGGGAUGGUUAUUUCUCUUCGGUAUACACAUGUCACAAGAGUGUAAAGUUCUAUUGGUGGUUCACCAUAUAAACUCUUAUAUAGUCAUGAUCUAAUACUACUAAUAGAGUUGAGUUUAUCUUUGUGAUUGCUACAAGCUGCCGAUACUAGGUUUUGAGAUCAGUAUUUGACAAGUAUUCUUCCAUUUAUCCAAGCAAAGUCUGCCAAACACCUAGACCACGUACAAGUGGGACAACAAUAGCACUUCAACUCCCAUCAUUAUCCACUUGUGAAGUAUAAAGUGGAUGACUUGGUUUUAAUUUUUUUUCCCAAUUUUAUGGUAUGUGGUUUGUCUAAAGGGCUCUUUACUCAGUGGAAGGGACUGUAUUAAGUGUUGCAAUAAUUUGGACCACAAGUUUAUGAGGUUUGGCAUAACAUCCAACAGGCUGAUCAAUCUUGGUCUCGGUCUCAGUCUCAGCCUUAGUCUUAGACUUGGUCUCGGUCUCAAUCUCAGUCUUGGUCUCGGUCUCAAUCUUGACCUCCAUCUCAAGUCCAUCUCAGACUUGACCUCAAACUCCAUCUCGGACUCCAUCUUGGGUCCAUCUUGGGUCUAUCUCAAACUCUAUCUUGGAUCCAUCUCAGACUCUAUUUUGGGUCCAUUUCAAAUUCCAUCUCAAGUCCAUCUCAGACUCCAUCUCAAGUCCAUCUCGGACUCCAUCUCGGGCCCAUCUUAGACUCCAUCUCGGGUCCAUCUUGGAUCCAUCUCAGACUCCAUCUUGGGUCCAUAUCAAACUCUAUCUUGAGUCCAUCUCAGACUCUAUCUUAGGUUCAUCUCAGACUCUGUCUCAGAUCCAUCUCAAACUCCAUCUUAGACUCCUUAACACUUCCACAUGUCAUGUAUUGAUCCUCUUGUGUCCCUUUUCUAGAGACUCACUUACUGCUUGUUUCGUGCUCGUUUCUUGAGCAUUUUAUUGGGAGUUCCACUCCCACUCUUGAUUGUCCAAAUCAGAGCUUUUAGUCCAAACAUGUUAUGCUCGUUUGGCUUCCACUUUGCCCAUUACCACGUAACACCCUUUACGCUCCACUUUGGGGAUUAGGGAUUUGUGUCUCCCAACAAGGAGCAAAGGAAGCAAAACACAAUUUAAGGAGUAGAGGAAUAGGAGUACAAAGUGACUUAGAAUAGUUCUAGAGCUUCCAACAUCCCAAUGCCAGAACCAACAUGCAAAAUUGAGAAAAACAAGUCUAAUGCUAUUCUAACAUACUAGUGGCCUAAUAUGAGGAUAUGGGUACUCCAUUAGCUCAUAUGGUAUAGACCUGGGGUUUGAACCUAAGUUGAAUGUAGGAAAAGGAUAACCACACAAGCAGGAGCUAAAUUAUAUCUCAAGUUGAUUGGCCAUCCCCCCCUCCUAUUUAGAAACACAUGCUUUGGGCUUUCACCCUAGUCCCAAAAGCUAGUCUCUAAAAUAAUUAUAGAAUCUUAUUAAUAGUGCUAGAUUGCAAUUUUGGAUACGGGAAUAACACCAUUGUGUUCAGAAAAAUCUCUAAAUUCCAUAGAUAUGCUAAACAUUUUCCAUAAAUAGCUAAUAUGGCAAACCAACAAACAAUCAUUCAUGUCAACUAUCAUAGCCAAGUUGAAUAGAUCCUGGUCAGCAAUACUAAGGAAUUUAAGUUGCUCAAGUAAGCAUCAAAACCAUCUUACUAAUAUCUCAAACCCAAUAGACUAAUCCAGAAUAAACCAUAAAGAAUAUAUGGUAAUGCAAAAUGCUAAAAGCCAUCAUAAAAGGUCAUCAAUCAUCUAUCAAUAGAGAAAUGCAUAAUCAUUAUCGAAGAAAUAAUCCAUUAUCCUAAAAAAUAACAAUUCAUUCAAUAUUAGUAAUAAGUAAAACCUUUGAUAAAGAUAAUCAAUUAUCCUAGAUAAUAAUCAAUCAUCAUUUAUGAUUGCUAAAUGCAAACACUUGUUGAGAGAGGCACCUCUCAACAGUAAGGAGAACACUCUCUCAUGCUUCUAGAAUCAAGCUCAAACAUCUUUUUUGCGUAAACUCCUUUCAACCCUAGUAAUAGAGGAGAAGGGGGUAUAUAUCCCCUCUCUUGGAAUAUCCUUCACACCUCUAAAAUAUUCCAACAAUAAAAUAUUCCAGGGAAUCUCACUCUAAUGCUAUACAUAUCCUAAUAGGUGAACACGAGGGAUCACACUAAACUCCAUCAUAUACAAGAACCUAUGACCAAAUUAUUAUUGAAGGCUCUAAUGUAAUGCCCAGUAUCAACAAUUACUGCAAGAAAGAGAACUAAAGAGAAUACAAAGAAAAGAAAGGGAGGAGAAGAAGUUUUAGUGUUUUAGGAUCAAGGGAAAACCAUGUGGGGAAAACUUAAACACAAAAUUGAGAACUUAACCCAAGGAAAGUGGAAAAAAAGAAGAAAACAAUAAUGAAAAAAAGAGAAAAAUAAAGAAAGGAGAAGAAUUCAAGAGAGAACAAGGUAUUGACCUAGAUUCUAGCUUUUAAGGUCUCCAAACCUCUUGAAAGUUCCUCAAACAUGGCUCAAGCUUGUUCCAAGCAAAUGGAAGAGUAGUGAAUAUAUUGCUCGUAUGGUGAAAUGGAAAGAUUGCAACUAUAGUGAUGGAUGAUGAAUGGAAUGGUUGGCUAACUUGAAUGGACUAGUGGUGGAGGGGAUCUUGUAAUAUAUGAUGUUCAUUGAAGUUUCCAGCAACAUAUGUGGUAAAAGUUGGAGAAGAAAAAGUUUGCAGCUAGUAGCAACAUCUAUAUGGAUGACUGCAUCUUGUUUUAUCUAUGUAGGUUUAAAAAAUAACGUUUACCCAUUUAUAGUGCCUAGCUUAUUGCUGCAAUCAAGGCCAUCUAGCUAGUCAAAAUCAGUUGUCAGUGUUUAAUAUUUGCCAAAAAAGUAUUGCAUUAAUAAAGUUCACUCCAUAUCUAGGCUGCUUCCUAUUGCAUCUACUGCAUAUGAGGAUGGUAAAUAAUGUGAUGUAAAGAUGUCCUCAAAUGGAUGUGUUCAUGGUGAGAUAGGUAGAGAGAAGUGAACUAGACAAAUGUAAUGGGUGAUAGACAAAGGUGUAGCAAAUUUAACAAUGAGCAAAUGAUGAUUAUGAGUGACUUAAAAUUAUGGUAUUGAGAUGUGGAUGAAUUUAAUGUAGAGAAGAACCAAAAAACCAUGGGAGAAAAGCUAGGAAAUAAAUGAAAUUCCAAAUGAUUAGAGUUGAUGCCACCUCAAAACAAAAAUCUAAGCCUAAGCCUAUUAUCAUAAGGAUACAACUCCUAGAAAGGUAGUAAGAAAGAGUGAAACAAAGAAAAGAAAGACAAAGAAAACAAAAAAAAGAAAAAAAAAAGUCACUAUAAGAGAAGUUAGUGAUGAUGUUAGAAGCUAUUGAAUGUGACUGUAUUGUAGUAUGUCCCAAGUGGACCAAGAGCAUUCUAAAGGAGGCCAAAGAUGCCAAUAAAUCUGGUUGUAUCACCCUCCAAAGCUAAAUAUUGUGUCAAUACAUCAAGAUAGAUUGCUAUAAUUACUAUACAUGGUUUGUCUAAAUGGCUUCUUACUUAGUGAAAAGGAUUAUAUCAUGUGUUGCAGCAAGUUGAUUUGCAAGUUUAUGAGGUUUGGUAUGACAUCCAACAGGCCAAUCCUCUAGAAAAUGUGCAUAUGCAAUAGUUGAAAUGUUUCAUAUAAAAAGAUCAAAAACAACUAGCACCACCUAUAGAUUCACCAAUGUCUCCUCUUAAUAUUCCUUUAGAUCCCAAUCAGUCCAUUAGAGAAUCUUAAUUGUCUUCCAUCUUUCCGAAAAGAGGGGAUGAUGUGAGGUUCAAGUGUAUGGCUACAAUGCCAUAUAUUAAUAUUAGCAUAGUGGGAUUUUGAUAGCCAUUGAAUUGGUUUCAAUUUGGACCAUUCGCUCCUAUAUAUAAGCUAAGAAAUUGAUAUGCAUAUUUUUGUAUUCCAUUUCCAUAUUCUAUGCACUCAUAUAUCAUCCCUGGAUUCCCACAGAAGAAUUCCAGCUGAACAUAAGGAUUGGUAGUAAGAGUAGGAGGUGUUAGGAAUCCCCCAAUUCUUGCCACAUUCCUGACUCUCGCCGGAUUCCUGACCUGCAGACCACAUUCCUGACUCUCGAGACACUUCCCUAUUCCUGACUCUCGAGACACUUCCCUAUUCCUGACUCUCGAGACACUUCCCGAUUCCUGAGUCUCAGACCACAUUCCUGAUGAUGAUGUGGCGCCUCCUUGACCUCAGCUAUAUUUAGGCCGUCCUCGAUCCAAGAGUGGUGGAGCUUCAUCAACCUAUAGUAUAUAUAGGUUAGCCUUGUUCCAUUUCUCCACAAUCUGAAUCAAUCCAGUCUAAGGCCUCUUCUUUGUUUCCACUAGCUUUUCUCUUCGUCUUUUUGCAUUUUCCAGUCUUGAUCUUGUCAGGGGUCUUGACAGUUUGAUUCAGAUUGUGUUUUUUCGUUUUUUGAUUUAGCUCGUUUUGAUUGUUUGAUUACCUUUGCCUUUUUUUCCCUCUUUUUUCUUUCUUCUUGCCAAUGGAGUCUCCAAGCCAUCCUGAUUUCUUUGUUGAAGUCCUUGCAAAAAUCCAGUCUGAGAAUACCGAGCUGAAGGCGACCCCUCUUCGCAUGCAGCAGGAGCUUGCUUCACUUUCGGCUCAAGGAUCCAGCAAAGUUCCUGAACCGAAGGUGAGCUUCCCGGCGAAUUUUUCAGGCAAGCGUUCGGAGCUUCGCAGAUUCCUGAACCAGAUGGAGUUGAUCUUCGCACUUCAACAUCGGCGGUACCCUACUCCCGAGUCUCAAAUCGGCGCGAUUGGGACGUUGCUCGAAGGUGCAGCUUUGUCAUGGUUUUCUCCUCUUCUGGAGAAGAGCAUGAAAGGGGUCGUGGUUCCAGAGCUGAUGGAUCUUUGAUUGUUCAAAGAGAAGCUCGAAGCAUGUUUUGGCAAGACGGAUCGGGUUCGGGCUGCUACCACAAAGAUGAGACGUCUCUCUCAGGGGUCUCAUCCUGCUUCGAUCUACGCUGCAGAGUUCCAACUCCUUGCUUUGGACACUCAGUGGGAUGAGCGGGCCCUGAUUGACCAAUUUCGUUUCGGCCUCAACAACGGUGUCAAGGAUUUGUUGCUCACCAUGGAGGAUCCCAAGGACCUGUCGGAUGCCAUCAACAAAGCUGUUAGAUGUGACAAUCGUCUCUUUGAACGUCGUCAGGAAAGUCGUCGUGCCGCUGUUUUUCCGUCCCAGACUCAGGAAUCCCAGCUUGAGUCUUCGGGGCAUACUCCUGAACCUACUGCUCCGGUUCCGAUGGAUAUUUCUGGUACUCCCCGACUCAUUAGAGGGAAGUUGAGUCCUACUGAGAAGCAACGUCGAAUAUCUCAUAAUCUUUGCCUCUAUUGUGCUGAUCCUAAUCACAAAGCAGCUGUAUGUCCCAAGAAGCCUCCUCGACUGCUCGAGUUCACUCUGCCUCAAAAUCCACCUCUAUUGCAGUCGGGAAACGACCCUGUCCAAAUAGAGUAGGAGCUGUCUGUUUGGACUCCCCGAAUAAAAAUCACUUUUCUUCUUUAUCAAGCUCCUCACCACCUUUCAUCAAAGCCACCACCAAUUCCCGCAACUUCUGCGUCCCAUGUCUCCUUUCUUUCACCGGACAAUCAGGACUCAAGGCUCUGGCGUUACUGGACUCGGGUGCAACUUCCUGCUUCAUGGACACGGACUUUGCUGCCCGACAUCACGUUCCUCUUUCUCCUACCAUAUGAGAUUUGAGGGUUGAAGGCAUCGGCGGGCAUUUUGUGUCUCCAUCUUCUGGACUUAGGGAAACAUUGCCCGUUCGAGUACACAUCGGGUCCACCGUCACCGAUAUCGCCUUCAACAUCAUCAACAGCAAGUCCUCCUCUAUGGUGCUCGGUCUUCCGUGGUUCCAACUACAUCAGCCUCAGAUCUGUUGGAAGGAAUUACAGCUCAUCUCUCCCACGGCUUCCCCUGCUGUUCAUCGAGUCCGAAUCAGGAAAAGUUCCCUAAACUCAAAUCGGGGUUCUGUUCCUGACUCUAUAAAGUUUUCACCCUCUUCUUUUUCCUCUCUUCCAUCUUACACUGAACCGUAUCCUUGUCUCAUCAUUCCAUUUAGUCGUACACCUCCUUCUAUCUCCACAAUCACUAUGAAAGAACUCCUUCAUGAAGAACCUCUUUUUCUUUUUGCUUUGCAUGUUUCUCCUGUCAGUCUUCCUGAGAAGUAUCAUGAUUUUGGGGAUGUGUUUGACAAGAAAAAAGCUAGUGUACUGCCUGUUCAUCGGCCUUAUGAUUGUCCCAUUGAUUUACAGGAAGGAGCGUCACCUCCGUGGGGGCCUAUCUACGGGUUAUCCCCGUCCGAGCUUAAGGCCCUCAAAGAGUACGUGGAUGAGAACCUUGCCUCAGGCUACAUUCAGCAUUCGCAGUCCCCGGCUGGAGCGCCUGUCUUCUUUGUCAAGAAGUAGGAUGGGAGCUUGCGGCUAGUCAUCGACUACCGAGGUUUGAACAAGGUGACUAUUCGGAACCGUUAUCCACUGCCCCUGAUCUCGGACCUGUUGGAACGCCUCGGCGGUGCCCGCUUCUUCACCAAGAUCAACCUCCGUGGAGCAUACAACCUGAUCCGGAUCCGGCCUGGUGAUGAAUGGAAGACUGUGUUCCGAACUCGCUAUGGCCACUUCGAGUACACUGUCAUGCCAUUUGGCUUGACAAAUGCUCCAGCAGUUUUCCAACACAUGGCGAACGACGUCUUUCGGGAGUUUCUUGAUCAGAUGGUGAUCGUCUACCUCGAUGACAUCCUCAUCUACUCAAAAACUCAGGAGGAGCAUGACGAACAUGUACGCAAGGUGCUAGCGAAGCUGCGAGAACACGGCCUAUACGCGAAGCUUGAGAAAUGUUCCUUUGAUCAGCAGUCUGUGGAGUUCCUUGGGUACAUUGUCACUCCUGAGGGUAUCACGAUGGAUCCUGCCAAAGUCAAGACUAUUCUCGAAUGGGAGCCUCCACAAUCAAUGUCGGACGUUCAGGUUUUCCUUGGCUUCGCCCACUUCUACCGCAAAUUCAUUGAUCACUACUCUGACAUUGUCCUUCCUCUCACACAUCUCACUCGCAAGGAUGUUCCCUUCUCUUGGUCUGUUGCUGCCCAGCAGGCCUUCGACACACUCAAGGCAGCCUUCAGUUCUGCUCCUGUCUUGAUCCAUGCUGAUUCCUCACAACCUUUCUUCAUCGAGGCUGACGCCUCCGACUUUGCCAUUGGUGCUGUGCUGUCUCAACUCGGAGCGGAUCACGAACUUCAUCCGGUCGCUUUCCAUUCUCGGAAAUUCCAGCCUGCGGAGAUCAAUUACAAAAUCCACGACAAGGAGCUCCUUGCCAUCGUGGAUUCUUUUGGAGAGUGGCGCCGUUUCUUGGAGGGGGCGAGCCAUUAAACAACAGUCUGGACGGAUCACAAAAAUCUCGAGUACUUUGCCACUUCCCGAGUUUUAAGCCGUCGUCAAGCAAGGUGGGCACAAUUCCUGAGUCGGUUUGACUUUGUUAUCAAGUACAGACCUGGAAAGUUUCAAGGCCUUCCUAAUGCUCUUUCAAGGCGCUCCUAUCUUAGUCUCAGGCCUGGUAAUCCUGCCUUCGAUCAACAGGAUCAAGUUAUCCUUGGUCCUGAUCGGCUUCAAGUUAUGGCAAUUUCCCUGGCCCCUCAGGACUCCUCCUUGAUGGAUGCAAUCAGAAACGAUCUUCAAUCCGAUGAUCUCGCUAGCGACAUCUUCCCCCAUCUUCAGGCUGGACACCCAGUGACUCCCGACUGCCGGCGAUUUGACGAGUUCGAGUUCUUAGAUGGCUUAUUGUACCAUGGGGAGCAACUUUACGUUCCUGAAGGUGAUGCUCGAAGGUUGGUCCUGAUGGCGUGCCACGAUAGCCCGACUGCUGGUCACUUCGGCAUUGCAAAAACCUAUGAGCUAGUUGCACGGGACUUUUGGUGGCCUCACAUGGACGACUACAUCAAAGCUUUUGUUACCUCCUGUGACACUUGUGCCCGGAAUAAGGUACCUCGCCACCUUCCUUCAGGUUUGCUUCGUUCCCUUUCGGUCCCUUCAGGUCCUUGGGAAUCCAUCUCCAUGGAUUUCUUGAGUGAUCUUCCGAGUUCUGGAGGCUUCAACAGCAUUUUAGUCGUGGUGGAUCGCUUCACAAAGAUGGCGCACUUCUUGCCAUGUACCAAGGAAUUUUCGGGCGAGGACAUGGCAAAACUGGUAUUCAGGGAAAUUUUCCGACUUCAUGGGAUUCCUACAGAUGUGGUUUCGGAUCGGGGGCCUCAGUUCAUCUCUCAUUUCUGGCAACGGUUUUUGCAGCUGCUUGGAGUGAAGGCCAACCUCUCUUCGGCAUAUCAUCCUCAAACUGAUGGGCAGUCCGAGCGAACGAUUUAGACGUUGGAACAAUUUUUGAGGUGCUUCAUCAAUUAUCAUCAGGAUAACUGGUUCGAUAUCCUUUUCCUUGCUGAGUUCUCCUAUAACAACUCUGUUCACUCCUCUCUUCGAGUUUCCCCCUUCUUUGCGAACUCUGGCCGAAAUCCCCAAUUCAAUCUCUCACUUCCUUCUCCAUCUGAAUCCUCUCGUUCAAAUCCCCGCUCUGAGGCAUUUAUCUCCAACCUCUAGGAAAUCCACAACUCCAUCUCCUUCCACCUCCAUCGUGCUCAGGAAUCUCAUAAAACAUUUGUCAAUGUCCAUCAUCAGGAUUGUCCCCCUUACAAUAUCGGGGAUAAAGUCUGGCUCCUCAGGCGAAAUAUCUCCACCACCAGGCCCUGUCCAAAACUCAAUUUCAAACACCUUGGUCCUUUCCCUAUCACUGCCAUCAUUAAUCCUGUGACUUAUCACCUUGCACUUCCCUCCUCAUAUCAAAUUCACCCCGUUUUUCACUCCUCUCUCCUUGAGCAUUAUAUUCCCAGUCCUAUUCCAAAUCGGGUCAUUCCUCCGCCUCCACCAGUGCAGCUCGAGGAUGGGUCUGAGUACGAGGUUCAGGACAUCCUUGAUUCCAAGAUUUCACGGUGUAAACUCUACUAUCUGGUGGACUGGAAGGGUUACAGACCUGAGGAACGCACUUGAGAACCUGCGGACAACCUGAUUCAUUCUCCUGACCUUGUUCAGGACUUCCACCGCCAUUAUCCUUCUCGUCCCAGUCCUCAUUCUUUUUCUCCAUCUCCCAUCCCUCGCCGCUCAUCUCAUCCUCCUCUUCGUUCUCGUUCACAUCCUCGUUCCACUCGUUCUUGAGGAGGGGGUGCUGUCAGGAAUCCCCCAAUUCUUGCCACAUUCCUGACUCUCGCCGGAUUCCUGACCUGCAGACCACAUUCCUGACUCUCGAGACACUUCCCUAUUCCUGACUCUCGAAACACUUCCCGAUUCCUGAGUCUCAAGCCACAUUCCUGAUGAUGAUGUGGCGCCUCCUCGACCUCAGCUAUAUUUAGGCCAUCCUCGAUCCAAGAGUGGUGGAGCUUCAUCAACCUAUAGUAUAUAUAGGUUAGCCUUAUUCCAUUUCUCCACAAUCUGAAUCAACACCAGUCUAAGGCCUCUUCUUUGUUUCCACUAGCUUUUCUCUUCGUCUUUUUGCAUUUUCCAGUCUUGAUCUUGUCAGGGGUCUUGACAGGAGGAGCAAUACCAUACCCUAUAAAUGCCGUUAUCAACCGAAUUUUAUUGUUCAACUACAACCAUAUAGCAUUGAGCAAUUGCACCAACUAUUACUUUAGAGUCAAAGGAGGAGGAUGUUGCUGCACUACCAUGAAGAUGAAUAAAAAAGAAAAAACAAAAGAGAAGAAAUUAAAAAAACUAUAAAGAAAGGGAAAUUUAGAUGAUGCAAAAGCUAGAUCCAAUCCAAAAUCCAAGCACUCUUUAGGGAUAAUCAAAGUUGGUUUUCACCUCUGGAAAUGGAAUAUAAAAAUAUGCAUAUCAAUUAGUCUAAAAACCUUAGCUUAUAUACAGGACCAAGUGGUUUGGAUUGAAAUGCCUAUCAAAAUCCCACUAUACUAAUAUUAAUAUAUAGCAUCAUAUAGGUACACUUGGACAUCUCACAAACAAUAAUUAAAUAAAUUAAAAGCUAUUUUAAUUAUUAUAUUAUGAGUAUAUUUAGAAGUAUUAUUUAAAAAAUGAUCUAUCUAUAAUGAAAUUAUUUUAUAAUAAUUUAUUAUAAUAGAAAAUUUAUAUUUUAUGUUUUAUAAUGUAAUUUCUUUUAAAAUGUCAUUUUCACAUAUAUAUUUUAACCAUUUUAUGUUAGAUUAAUAAUUUAUUUAAUAUCUUAUGUUAUAUUAUAGACUUUAGUGAAUGGAAUUGUUUCCAUACAUUUUUGUAGAGUUAAUUAACAAAAAUACAUUUAGAUAUGGAACUAAAUUAUGAAAAUCUAUAUAUCAGAACAUGUAUAUUUUGAAGAAAGUGGUAUUAUAAAGAUGAAAAUGGGAAGGAUGUACAAAGUUUUAUUGAAAAAAGAACAUAUUUUACAUGGGAGAAUUUAUUCUAGAAUGAUAAGAAUUUCUAAGGAUUAACUGAAAAGCUAAGAAAUGUUUAGUGUGAAAAUCUAGGUUUAUUUUUAAUAUAGACUACAUUUUAGUGGUAAAGUUUUCUAAACUUGACUGCCCUGCAAAUUACUCUAAAUAACCUUCAAUGUCUUGAGAUUACUCUUUCUCCUCUAAAACUUGGUGUGGAGUUAUAUGUUUCAAAAUAUUUGAACCACUUCCUUGCUGCAGUAACCAGCAAACUAAGACGUAAAAACUAUAUGAUUGCCAUCAUAUAUACUUGAUUGAAUGGUUAGUGGAUUAUUAUAUAACAAGUCCACUUGAGGAGAUUUGGCUAUUUAGAUAUUUCAUUGUACUCACUAGCAACACCUUAAGACCUUGCCCAAAGUUUUUUAACAAACCUUAGACCAUUAAUGCUCUAUAGAGCUUGAGGUGAUAAGAUGAACUUUCAUAUACUUUAUAAUGCAAGUAUAAAAUGUUAUUAUAAAUUUAGUUUUUAUGUCAUCGAAAGAAGAGAAAAUAAAACUCUAGACAUAAACAAAGAGGAGGCAAAAGAAAUGGAUGCAUUGUAAUAACAUUUGUAUGAAAUGCUUUAGUUGUUGCAUAUAUACAAUUUAUAGAAGAUCAACCUAUUAAAUGUUGUGCUAAACCUUAUAAAUUUAUGGUCCAACUUACUAUAACACUUAAUAUGGUCAUUUUGAUUGGGCAAUGAGCCUCUUAGAAAAACAUAUACUAUAAAUGAGGAAAAUAAACCAAUAUCAACUCAUUCACUUUAUACUCUAUAUAUGAAUGAUGAUGAUAGUUAUAUUAGUUUUGCUUGAAUAUGUAGAAGAAUGCUUAUCAAAUAUUGAUCCCAAGAUCUAACAUUAGUAACUUGUGGCAAUCACAAAAAUAAAUUCAACUCUAUUAGCAAUAUUGGAUCAUAACUAUAUAAAAAUUUAUAUAGUGAAGCAUUUUGUACCCUAUGACAUAUGCAUACCGGAGAGAUGGCAAAUAAUCAUCCUGAUCCAAUUCAUGUACUUUAUAAUCAUCUUUUUCAGUAUUUGAGUGAGCCAUUCUACCAAAUCAUUUGCCUUUUGAUGAUAAUCACUCAUGAAAGUGUAAGAUAUUCCCAAUUAAGACAUCAAAAUGUGAAAUGCCUUAAUCAUAAACGCAAGAUCAUUAUCUGAGAGAAUCUAUAGCAUAUAUAAAUAUAAGAUGAGAUUUGGAUAUAUUAUUACCAUAUAUCCUUGGAACCUUAAGGGAUAAAUAGCUCUCCCCAUUUUUUUUAGUUGGUUUAAGGGGAGAAAGAUAAGAUGUGUUAUAUAUGGUAUCAAAGCAAAUUGCAUAAGUUUAAUUCCCAUUGAUUAGUGGCUACUGAAAAAAUAAUAUGAACAAAGUAUAUUCCUACCCCUAAAUUUGAAAUCGUAUAUAUUGGACAUCCAUAUAUACAUCCUUCCUCUUGUGGACUAUCUACGAACAAAGGCAUCCAUUGUACUAAUUGCCUCAUAUGGAAUAGUUGGUCUACACAUUGGAAGGAUUAGUAAAUUUAGUGUGGAAAUAGAGGUAUUGGUUCUCCUUGGCUUAGUAAGGGUUAUUAGUUAAUAGUAAAUGAGGAUAUUAACAUUUAUUAAAGGAGGGUGAGUGUAGUGUAUAUAUUGUCACCUUAAAUCAUUGGAACUUUAAAGAUAAAUAGGGAUAAAAUAACUACUAAAGGCUCUCUCAUUAAACAAUUAUCCCUUUUUCACUAUGAACAAGAAUAUGGUCAUCCAGCCUAAUACUACUCAAACCCAAGGACAUUUAACUCUAAUUAUCUUAAUUAUUUAAUUGAUUCUAAAAUAGGGUGUUAUAGGUCCCUUUAUAUUUGAAUCUAUACAGAUUAUUUCUAAAGUUAUUUUCAUUAGUUAUUUAUAAUUUACCACGAUUCUCUACAAAUUCACGCUUUUGUGAAUAAAAGCUGAGAGUUACAAUUCUCCUAAGAGCCUCACUCUCUUGAUACUCUACUCUUAAAAUCAAGCCUAGGUAGACCAAACUGAACCGCAAAAUGUCAAUUUUAAUAUAUGGUGUGAUUCAUUUAUCCAACCAACAAAGUUAAACUCGAGACCCUCUAAUACCAAAUGUAAGCUUUUGAAUUUAGACUUCUUGAGGAGUCACUUAACCUAAUACUAUUCAAAUUGAAAGAUGCUUAACCCCAAAUAUUUAAAAACUUUUAACCAA
rnacentral:lncRNA from 1 species